rnacentral:rRNA from 1 species
AUGAUUAGAGGUUUCAAAUUUGGUUCAGUUCAGAAAAGAGUUCCAGGUUCAGAAAUGAUUAGUAAUGGUGCAUUGCAGCAGCAGGGGCAUUAUACAUCGCAGCAAGAGGAAAUUCCAGCAAAAGAAAGCAACUCACAUGCUGAUUUGGGGCCCAAUAUGCAGAAAGAUGGGACCACUAGCACAACUGAUCAAUACAUAAUUGUUUUAGCCAAAGACAGAAUGUUUGCUCCCCAAGCAGCAGCACAUCAGUACAGACCAAGGAACUCGGGGGGCAGCAGAAUUAGGUCAGUGGCACCAGGAACUAAACCGAAGCUUCGAUGGUGCCCGACAGGGCUCAUACAUACUCAGAAAAGAAGGGUGCAGCGGCUGCGGGCAUUGGAAAUUAGAGAGGAACUAGCUGAGAAGAAGCGCGACGAGUGGUUCAAUAAAGAUAAACCAAUGGUGCCCUCGAAUAUGACUUGGAAAGAGAAGCGCAUCGCAAGGGAGGAAUGCAAUAGUGCUAAUGACAUGGUUAUGGAUGGAAACUCUAAGGAUAAACAGGAUAUGCCUGCGGAUAUGGACAUUGAUAUGGUAUUUGAGCUGCCUGCUGAAUUUCGUGCGCCUAAGGCUGAAGAGGCCGAAGUUGCAGAACUUGUUCUUGGCCCAAAAAGUGUUAUAUUUGAGAAACCAAAGAAGCAUGGACAACACCUAAAGCCUUUGUUUAUCAAGGGUCACAUUGAUGGUAAACCUAUUGGUCGCAUGCUUGUUGACGGCGGUGCCGGUGUUAAUAUCAUGCCUUUUUCGGGUUUUUCUAAGUUGGGCCGAAAAGAGGAAGAACUGAUGAAAACCAAUAUGGGACUUAGUGGGUUUUCAGGAUACUUGUCUGAAGCUAAGGGUGUUAUUUCUAUGGAGCUCACGGUUGGUAGCAAAACAUUGCCGACUGCUUUCUUUGUUGUUGAUGUCAAAGGCCGAUAUAAUAUUCUUUUGGGGCGCGAUUGGAUCCAUGCAAAUUGUUGCAUCCCUUCUACUCUACAGCAAUGUUUGAUUCAGUGGGUUGAUGAUGAUGUUGAAGUGGUUGAGGCGGAUAAUUCGGCCUGCAUUGCUUUGGCUGAGGCUCCGGUUGAUUGGCAACACUGUGAGAUGUCAUGCUUGACGGGUAGAGAUUUAUCAGAUUAUGAUUAUAUUAGUAUUGGCAGAGAUGGUUUUGUUCCUGUACAUGCACAGCCGGCUAGUGUAGCUCGGCUUAAUGACUUAUCCUUGUGA